rnacentral:rRNA from 1 species
UACGUAGGGGGCUAGCGUUGUCCGGAUUUAUUGGGCGUAAAGAGCGUGUAGGCGGCCAGGUAGGUCUGCUGUGAAAACUCGAGGCUCAACCUCGAGACGUCGGCGGAAACCAUCUGGCUAGAGUCCGGAAGAGGAGAGUGGAAUUCCUGGUGUAGCGGUGAAAUGCGCAGAUAUCAGGAAGAACACCCGUGGCGAAGGCGGCUCUCUGGGACGGUACUGACGCUGAGGCGCGAAAGCUAGGGGAGCAAACGGG